rnacentral:misc_RNA from 1 species
GAAAUGCGAUAAGUAAUGUGAAUUGCAGAAUUCCGUGAAUCAUCGAAUCUUUGAACGCACAUUGCGCCCUCUGGCAUUCCGGGGGGCAUGCCUGUCCGAGCGUCAUUACGCACCCUCAAGCCCGGCUUGUGUGAUGGGCCCCGGCGUCUCGUUCGCGAGACGGGCCCGAAAGGCAGCGGCGGCGUCGACCCGAUGAACCCGAGCGUAUGGGGACUUCUGUCACACGUUCGCGGUGCGGACCGGCGCCUGCUUGACUUUUCUGAUUAUCCAGGUUGACCUCGGAUCAGGUAGGGAUACCCGCUGAACUUAAGC